CCCCUCUCAGGAUCACACCUGGAGAGUUUCCAGUACUCUAACAGUCUUAACUAUGGGAGGGAAAGUCAAGCAGAGGCCUACCCAUGCCAUUCCUAGCUUGGGCAGUGGCUAGCAAGUGGAAGGCAAUCUGUUAUAGGU
rnacentral:snoRNA from 1 species